rnacentral:rRNA from 1 species
UCCGCAAUGGGCGAAAGCCUGACGGAGCGACGCCGCGUGCGGGAUGAAGGCCUUCGGGUUGUAAACCGCUGUCAGUUGAGAGGAAAUCUAUGGGGGUUCUCCCCCAUAGUUGACCUAUCUUCAGAGGAAGGACGGGCUAAGUUCGUGCCAGCAGCCGCGGUAAGACGAACCGUCCAAACGUUAUUCGGAAUCACUGGGCUUAAAGGGUGCGUAGACAAAAAAAACAAGUUGGGUGUGAAAUCCCUCGGCUCAACCGAGGAACUGCGCUCAAAACUGCCAAGCUAGAGGAAGAUAGAGGUGAGCGGAACUAAUGGUGGAGCGGUGAAAUGCGUUGAUAUCAUUAGGAACACCUGUGGCGAAAGCGGCUCACUGGGUCUUUUCUGACGCUGAGGCACGAAAGCUAGGGUAGCGAACGGGAUUAGAUACCCCGGUAGUCCUAGCUGUAAACGAUGAGCACUAGGUUGGAGGCUCCUCCAUAGGUUUCCGACCGAAGCGAAAGUGUUAAGUGCUCCGCCUGGGGAGUAUGGUCGCAAGGCUGAAACUCAAAGGAA